AGAAUCAACGCUGGCGGCGUGCCUCAGACAUGCAAGUCGAACGCGAAAGUCCCCUUCGGGGACAAGUAGAGUGGCGCACGGGUGAGUAACACGUAGGUAAUCUACCUUCGGGUGGGGAAUAACAAUCGGAAACGUUGCUAAUACCGCAUAAUGCAGCGGCACCUAAUGGUGACAGUUGUUAAAGCGGGGAUCGCAAGAUCUCGCGCCUGAAGAGGAGCCUGCGGCGGAUUAGCUAGGUUGGUAGGGUAAUGGCCUACCGAAGGCGACGAUCCCGUA
rnacentral:rRNA from 1 species